UACGUAGGGUGCAAGCGUUGUCCGGAAUUAUUGGGCGUAAAGAGCUCGUAGGCGGUUUGUCGCGUCGGCUGUGAAAACUCGGGGCUCAACCCCGAGCCUGCAGUCGAUACGGGCAGACUAGAGUGCUGUAGGGGAGACUGGAAUUCCUGGUGUAGCGGUGAAAUGCGUAGAUAUCAGGAGGAACACCGGUGGUGUAGACGGCUUUCGUGGACCGUAACUGACGCUGAGACACGAAAGCGUGGGUAGCAAACAGG
rnacentral:rRNA from 1 species